AUUGAACGCUGGCGGUAGGCUUAACACAUGCAAGUCGAGCGGGGUGAUGGUGCUUGCACUAUCACUUAGCGGCGGACGGGUGAGUAAUGCUUAGGAAUCUGCCUAUUAGUGGGGGACAACAUCUCGAAAGGGAUGCUAAUACCGCAUACGUCCUACGGGAGAAAGCAGGGGAUCACUUGUGACCUUGCGCUAAUAGAUGAGCCUAAGUCGGAUGAGCUAGGUGGUGGGGUAAAGGCCUACCAAGGCGACGAUCUGUAGCGGGUCUGAGAGGAUGAUCCGCCACACUGGGACUGAGACACGGCCCAGACUCCUACGGGAGGCAGCAGUGGGGAAUAUUGGACAAUGGGGGGAACCCUGAUCCAGCCAUGCCGCGUGUGUGAAGAAGGCCUUAUGGUUGUAAAGCACUUUAAGCGAGGAGGAGGCUCUUUUGGUUAAUACCCAAGAUGAGUGGACGUUACUCGCAGAAUAAGCACCGGCUAACUCUGUGCCAGCAGCCGCAGUAA
rnacentral:rRNA from 1 species